rnacentral:rRNA from 2 species
UACGAAGGGGGCUAGCGUUGUUCGGAAUCACUGGGCGUAAAGCGCACGUAGGCGGAUCUUUAAGUCAGGGGUGAAAUCCCAGAGCUCAACUCUGGAACUGCCUUUGAUACUGGGGAUCUUGAGUCCGGAAGAGGUAAGUGGAACUGCGAGUGUAGAGGUGAAAUUCGUAGAUAUUCGCAAGAACACCAGUGGCGAAGGCGGCUUACUGGUCCGGAACUGACGCUGAGGUGCGAAAGCGUGGGGAGCAAACAGG